rnacentral:rRNA from 1 species
AGUGAACGCUGGCGGUAGGCCUAACACAUGCAAGUCGAACGGCAGCACAGUAAGAGCUUGCUCUUACGGGUGGCGAGUGGCGGACGGGUGAGGAAUACAUCGGAAUCUACUUUUUCGUGGGGGAUAACGUAGGGAAACUUACGCUAAUACCGCAUACGACCUACGGGUGAAAGCAGGGGAUCUUCGGACCUUGCGCGACUGAAUGAGCCGAUGUCGGAUUAGCUAGUUGGCGGGGUAAGGCCCACCAAGGCGACGAUCCGUAGCUGGUCUGAGAGGAUGAUCAGCCACACUGGAACUGAGACACGGUCCAGACUCCUACGGGAGGCAGCAGUGGGGAAUAUUGGACAAUGGGCGCAAGCCUGAUCCAGCCAUACCGCGUGGGUGAAGAAGGCCUUCGGGUUGUAAAGCCCUUUUGUUGGGAAAGAAAAUCAGCAGGUUAAUACCCCGCUGUUCUGACGGUACCCAAAGAAUAAGCACCGGCUAACUUCGUG